UACGAAGGGGGCUAGCGUUGCUCGGAAUCACUGGGCGUAAAGGGCGCGUAGGCGGCCAUUCAAGUCGGGGGUGAAAGCCUGUGGCUCAACCACAGAAUUGCCUUCGAUACUGUUUGGCUUGAGUAUGGUAGAGGUCAGUGGAACUGCGAGUGUAGAGGUGAAAUUCGUAGAUAUUCGCAAGAACACCAGUGGCGAAGGCGGCUGACUGGACCAUUACUGACGCUGAGGCGCGAAAGCGUGGGGAGCAACAGG
rnacentral:rRNA from 1 species